CUUUUCUUUUUGUGAAUACAGACUAACCCAUCUGCUACUCUGAAACAAUUCACUUACUGAAAAUGGUUCGAAGGACUGGAAAAACAUACCUUCAAUUCUCUCUUUACAUGAAAGUAGUAUAGAAAAUUUGGAAUGUUUUCGAAAUUGGAAAGAACUUUAAUUACGAUUGAAAAAAGGAAAAACUAUCAAUGAAGAAAAUUUAUGUGUGAUCAAGGAAAAAGAAGAAUAUUGGCAACAAAUAUUAGAGCGUCUGAUUGCUUUAGUGAGAGUUCUUGGUGGGCAAAAUUUAGCAUUCCGCAGCCACAGUAGAAAUGAAAAAUUAUACACUCCAGGUAAUGGAAACUUUUUAAAAUUUGUUGAAUACCU